AUUGAACGCCGGCGGCAGGCUUAACACAUGCAAGUCGAGCGGGGUGAUGGUGCUUGCACUAUCACUUAGCGGCGGACGGGUGAGUAAUGCUUAGGAAUCUGCCUAUUAGUGGGGGACAACAUCUCGAAAGGGAUGCUAAUACCGCAUACGUCCUACGGGAGAAAGCAGGGGAUCUUCGGACCUUGCGCUAAUAGAUGAGCCUAAGUCGGAUUAGCUAGUUGGUGGGGUAAAGGCCUACCAAGGCGACGAUCUGUAGCGGGUCUGAGAGGAUGAUCCGCCACACUGGGACUGAGACACGGCCCAGACUCCUACGGGAGGCAGCAGUGGGGAAUAUUGGACAAUGGGGGGAACCCUGGUCCAGCCAUGCCGCGUGUGUGAAGAAGGCCUUAUGGUUGUAAAGCACUUUAAGCGAGGAGGAGGCUACUUUAGUUAAUACCUAGAGAUAGUGGACGUUACUCGCAGAAUAAGCACCGGCUAACUCUGUGCCAGCCGCCGCCGUAA
rnacentral:rRNA from 1 species